rnacentral:sRNA from 1 species
AUGGACCCUCAGCGGCGCUUCCUCGUAGCGAGCCUAGUGGCGGGUGUUUGCAUUGAAACGUGAGCGCGACCCGACCUUAAAGAGUGGGGAGCAAAGGGAGGACAGAGCCCUUUAAAACGAGGCGGGUGGUGCCUGCCCCUUUAAGGGCGGGGCGUCCGGACGACUGUAUCUGAGCCCCAGACUGCCCCGAGUUUCUGUCGCAGGCUGCGAGGAAAGGCUCCUAGGCUGGGUCCGGGUGCUUGGCGGCGGCGGCUUCCUCCCCGCUCGUCCUUCCCGGGCCCAGAGGCACCUCGGCUCCAGUCAUGCUGAGCAGAGUAUGGAAGCACCUGACUACGAAGUGCUAUCCGUGCGAGAACAGCUAUUCCACGAGAGGAUCCGCGAGUGUAUUUGGAUGAUGAAGAUGCCACCGUCAACAAGAUUGCGGUGUCCUGGGCCGGGUCUAUGAGACAGUGGUGAUGUUGAUGCUCCUCACUCUGCUGGUGCUAGGUAUGGUGUGGGUGGCAUCAGCCAUUGUGGACAAGAACAAGGCCAACAGAGAGUCACUCUAUG